rnacentral:rRNA from 1 species
CCUACGGGAGGCAGCAGUGAGGAAUAUUGGACAAUGGUCGAAAGACUGAUCCAGCCAUGCCGCGUGCAGGAAGACGGCCCUAUGGGUUGUAAACUGCUUUUGUUUGGGAAGAAACCUUUCUACGUGUAGAAAGCUGACGGUACCAUACGAAUAAGCACCGGCUAACUCCGUGCCAGCAGCCGCGGUAAUACGGAGGGUGCAAGCGUUAUCCGGAUUUAUUGGGUUUAAAGGGUCCGUAGGCGGACUUAUAAGUCAGUGGUGAAAUCCUGCAGCUCAACUGUAGAACUGCCAUUGAUACUGUAAGUCUUGAAUUCGGUUGAAGUGGGCGGAAUAUGGCAUGUAGCGGUGAAAUGCUUAGAUAUGCCAUAGAACACCGAUUGCGUAGGCAGCUCACUAAGCCUGGAUUGACGCUGAGGGACGAAAGCGUGGGUAGCGAACAGGAUUAGAUACCCUGGUAGUCCACGCCGUAAACGAUGAUUACUCGACAUUAGCGAUACACGGUUAGUGUNAUAGACGAAGAGAGUAAGUACGUACCGACGAGGUAAGGUACGUCGUUAGAGUAGUUAGAACGUAANAGAGAGUAGACGNGNGAGAGCGACGACGACGACGACGAGGAGGAGG